rnacentral:rRNA from 1 species
UACGAAGGGUGCAAACGUUGCUCGGAAUUAUUGGGCGUAAAGCGCACGUAGGCGGCUUGGCAAGUCGGAUGUGAAAUCCCUCGGCUCAACUGAGGUACGUCGAUCGAUACUGCCGUUCUUGAGGGUUGCAGAGGAGACUGGAAUUCCCGGUGUAGCGGUGAAAUUCGUAGAUAUCGGGAGGAACACCAGUGGCGAAGGCGGCGAUCUGGGAAGAUACUGACGCUGAGGUGCGAAAGCGUGGGGAGCAAACAGG